rnacentral:rRNA from 1 species
UGAAACACGGACCAAGGAGUCUAACAUGUGCGCGAGUCAUUGGGUGUCAAACCUAAAGGCGGAAUGAAAGUGAAGGCUGGCUCGACCGGCUUAUAUGGGAUCCGUUCGGUUACGGCCGAGCGGCGCACCAUAGCCCCGUCUCGACUGCUUGCAGUGGGGCGGAGGCAGAGCGUACACGUUGGGACCCGAAAGAUGGUGAACUAUGCCUGAGCAGGACGAAGCCAGAGGAAACUCUGGUGGAGGUCCGAAGCGGUUCUGACGUGCAAAUCGAUCGUCAGACUUGGGUAUAGGGGCGAAAGACUAAUCGAACCAUCUAGUAGCUGGUUCCCUCCGAAGUUUCCCCCAGGAUAGCUGGAGCUCGUUAGAGCAGUUGUAUCCGGUAAAGCGAAUGAUUAGAGGCCUUGGGGACGAAACGACCUCAACCUAUUCUCAAACUUUCAAUGGGUACGAAGUCCCGGUUGCUCGACUCGAACCGCUGGACAGUGAAUGUGAGCUCCAAGUGGGCCAUUUUUGGUAAGCA